AAUGAUCAACAUGUCAUAAAACAUAAGAAAAUAGGCUGAAGUUUAAUUUACGAGCUUUGGGGCAAAAGUGUAAAUAUGUGAAAGUUUAGGGGCAAAACUGUAAUUUUUCCAAAAUAUGAGUUUGGGUCAAUUUGAAUAAUGUGAGUCCUAAUUAAACUAUAUUUUAAAUGAUAGAGCAAGGAAAACUAAAAUUCGGGCUAAAAUGGGGAAAAUACCAAGUUGUGGACGAAA
rnacentral:lncRNA from 1 species